rnacentral:rRNA from 1 species
GACGAACGCUGGCGGCGUGCUUAACACACGCAAGUCGAACGGAAAGGCCCUGCUUGCAGGGUACUCGAGUGGCGAACGGGUGAGUAACACGUGGGUGAUCUGCCCUGCACUUCUUGGUAAGCCUUGGAAACUGGGUCUAAUACCGGAUAGGAGCCAUUCUUAGUGUGAUGGUUGGAAAGUUUUUUCGGUGUAGGAUGAGCUCGCGGCCUAUCAGCUUGUUGGUGGGGUAAUGGCCUACCAAGGCGGCGACGGGUAGCCGGCCUGAGAGGGUGGACGGCCACAUUGGGACUGAGAUACGGCCCAGACUCCUACGGGAGGCAGCAGUGGGGAAUAUUGCACAAUGGGCGGAAGCCUGAUGCAGCGACGCCGCGUGGGGGAUGACGGCCUUCGGGUUGUAAACUCCUUUCGCUAGGGACGAAGCUUUUGUGACGGUAACUAGAUAAGAAGCACCGGCUAACUACGUG